CAUCACUACGCUAGAUGCAUAUCAAUAAGCGGAGGAAAAGAAACUAACAAGGAUUCCCUAGUAACGGCGAGUGAAGCGGGAAGAGCUCAAAUUUGAAAUCUUCAAGGGUUUCCCUUGACGAAUUGUAGUUUAAAGAAGUGUUUUCUGUUAGAGAGUUUGGUAAAAGUUCUUUGGGAAUAGGACAUCAUAGAGGGUGAGAAUCCCGUAUUUGAUCCACUCUCUACUAACGUUGUGAUACACUUUCAAAGAGUCGGAUUGUUUGGGAAUGCAGUCCAAAAUGGGUGGUAAAUUUCAUCUAAAGCUAAAUAUUGGCGAGAGACCGAUAGCGAACAAGUACCGUGAGGGAAAGAUGAAAAGAACUUUGAAAAGAGAGUUAAACAGUACGUGAAAUUGUCAAAAGGGAAGCGUUUGACACCAGUGUUGUUUUUCCGAAAAUCAAUUAUGAAUGGCUUGAUUUUAAGUUUCAUGACCUUAAAAGCUUGUUUCUUAUUUUUCAUGUCUUUCGUAAUGCACUUUUCGGUUAACAAGUCAACAUCAAUUUCUUUUGUUGUAAAAGGUUAAGAGGAAGGUGGCUUUACUUUCGGGUAAAGUGUUUAUAGCCUUUUAACUCUGCAAUCGGAGAGAUUGAGGUCUGCAGCGUAGAUCCUUCGGGGUUAGAUACGUUUGUGCUAAGUUAUAGCUUUUCAUAGACAACUUGUUGACUAUGUUAAGUCUUGUAAUUUACUCGCAGAUGCUAUUUUACCUACGCUUAGGAUGUUGAUAUGCAUGACUGAUA
rnacentral:rRNA from 1 species